rnacentral:rRNA from 1 species
UACCAGCACCCCGAGUGGUCGGGACGAUUAUUGGGCCUAAAGCAUCCGUAGCCGGUCCUACAAGUCUUCCGUUAAAUCCACCUGCUUAACAGAUGGGCUGCGGAAGAUACUAUAGGGCUAGGAGGCGGGAGAGGCAAGCGGUACUCAGUGGGUAGGGGUAAAACCCUCUGAUCCAUUGAAGACCACCAGUGGCGAAGGCGGCUUGCCAGAACGCGCUCGACGGUGAGGGAUGAAAGCUGGGGGAGCAAACCGG